rnacentral:misc_RNA from 1 species
AAAAAAAAAAAAAAAAACAAAAUUGGUCUUCUUCCAUUCUUGCCGCCUCCCUUCCCUCUCCCAAAGCUCCCUCACCAAAACUCCAUUAAAGCUCAUUUUUGAGCUUGAAGACAACCAAAUCCCACCAUAGAAAAUUCAAUUAUCAUAACUAAACUUUGUUUAGGCAAUUAGAAAAGAAGGUUCAAGGAGAAAGAAAGAAGAAAGGAA